AUCCAGCUGACGAGUCCCAAAUAGGGACGCGCGUCCUGGAU
rnacentral:hammerhead_ribozyme from 1 species